AACGAACGCUGGCGGCAUGCCUAACACAUGCAAGUCGAACGAGACCUUCGGGUCUAGUGCCGAACGGGUGCGUAACGCGUGGGAACCUGCCCUUAGGUUCGGAAUAACUCCCCGAAAGGGGUGCUAAUACCGGAUAAUGUCUCCGGACCAAAGAUUUAUCGCCUUUGGAUGGGCCCGCGUUGGAUUAGCUAGUUGGUAGGGUAAAAGCCUACCAAGGCGACGAUCCAUAGCUGGUCUGAGAGGAUGAUCAGCCACACUGGGACUGAGACACGGCCCAGACUCCUACGGGAGGCAGCAGUGGGGAAUAUUGGACAAUGGGCGAAAGGCUGAUCCAGCAAUGCCGCGUGAGUGAUGAAGGCCUUAGGGUUGUAAAGCUCUUUUACCCGGGAUGAUAAUGACAGUACCGUGAGAAUAAGCUCCGGCUAACUCCGUG
rnacentral:rRNA from 1 species